CGCAUCUGUGCAUGCAGCAUAUCAAUAAGCGGAGGAAAAGAAACUAACAAGGAUUCCCCUAGUAACGGCGAGUGAAGCGGGAAGAGCUCAAAUUUGAAAUCUUAAAGGGUUUCCCUUUACGAAUUGUAGUUUAAAGAAUGUGUUUUCUGUUGAGGUUUUGGUAAAAGUUCUUUGGAAUAGGACAUCAUAGAGGGUGAGAAUCCCGUAUUUGACCUUUACUUUCAACUUUGUGAUACACUUUCAAAGAGUCGGAUUGUUUGGGAAUGCAGUCCAAAAUGGGUGGUAAAUUUCAUCUAAAGCUAAAUAUUGGCGAGAGACCGAUAGCGAACAAGUACCGUGAGGGAAAGAUGAAAAGAACUUUGAAAAGAGAGUUAAACAGUACGUGAAAUUGUCAAAAGGGAAGCGUUUGACACCAGUGUUGUUUUUCUGAAAAUCAAUUAAAGAACUGUUUAUGCUAAGUUGUUUAGACUUUAUCAGCUAAUCUGCUUAGUUUUGAGCUUUUCUUUAAUGCACUUUUCAGUUAACAAGUCAACAUCAAUUUCUUUUGCUGUAAAAAAGCUUGAGGAAGGUGGCUUGAGAUUCGUCUUAAGUGUUUAUAGCCUCUUGCCUAUGCAGUCGGAGAGAUUGAGGUCUGCAGCGUAGAUCCUUCGGGGCUAAAUGCAUUUGUGCUAAGUUAUAGCAUUUUAUAGACAACUUGUUGACUAUGAUUUGUCUUGUAGCUUACUCGCUUAUGUUAUUUUACCUACGCUUAGGAUGUUGAAGAUGUAGCACAUCAU
rnacentral:rRNA from 1 species